rnacentral:rRNA from 1 species
CCUGAGAAACGGCUACCACAUCCAAGGAAGGCAGCAGGCGCGCAAAUUACCCACUCCCGGCACGGGGAGGUAGUGACGAAAAAUAACGAUACGGGACUCAUCCGAGGCCCCGUAAUCGGAAUGAGUACACUUUAAAUCCUUUAACCAGGAUCAAUUGGAGGGCAAGUCUGGUGCCAGCAGCCGCGGUAAUUCCAGCUCCAAUAGCGUAUAUUAAAGUUGUUGCGGUUAAAAAGCUCGUAGUUGAAUCUGUGUCCCACACUGUCGGUUCACCGCUCGCGGUGUCCAACUGGCAUGUCUGUGGGACGUCCUACCGGUGGGCGCAGCCCCUCAAAAGGCGGCCCAACUCAAAAUCCUACCACGGUGCUCUUCACCGAGUGUCGAGGUGGGCCGGUACGUUUACUUUGAACAAAUUAGAGUGCUUAAAGCAGGCUCAUUCGCCUGAAUAUUCUGUGCAUGGAAUAAUGGAAUAGGACCUCGGUUCUAUUUUGUUGGUUUUCGGAACUCCGAGGUAAUGAUUAAUAGGGACAACUGGGGGCAUUCGUAUUGCGACGUUAGAGGUGAAAUUCUUGGAUCGUCGCAAGACGGACAGAAGCGAAAGCAUUUGCCAAAUGUGUUUUCAUCAAUCAAGAACGAAAGUUAGAGGUUCGAAGGCGAUCAGAUACCGCCCUAGUUCUAACCAUAAACGAUGCCAGCUAGCGAUCCGCCGAAGUUCCUCCGAUGACUCGGCGGGCAGCUUCCGGGAAACCAAAGCUUUUGGGUUCCGGGGGAAGUAUGGUUGCAAAGCUGAAACUUAAAGGAAUUGACGGAAGGACACCACCAGGAGUGGAGCCUGCGGCUUAAUUUGACUCAACACGGGGAACCUCACCAGGCCCGGACACUGGAAGGAUUGACAGAUUGAGAGCUCUUUCUUGAUUCAGUGGGUGGUGGUGCAUGGCCGUUCUUAGUUGGUGGAGCGAUUUGUCUGGUUAAUUCCGAUAACGAGCGAGACUCUAGCCUGCUAAAUAGGCGUACUUUCCGGUAUCUCGAAGGCCCGCCGGCUCGGCUUCGGCCGUUGUCGUGUGUGGUUUUUACUACCGGCGUACACAUAUAUCUUCUUAGAGGGACAGGUGGCAUUUAGUCGCACGAGAUUGAGCAAUAACAGGUCAGUGAUGC